rnacentral:rRNA from 1 species
GUGAGGAAUAUUGCGCAAUGGAGGCAACUCUGACGCAGCCAUGCCGCGUGCAGGAAGAAGGCGCUACGCGUUAUAAACUGCUUUUAACCGGGAAGAAACCCCAGGACGUGUCCUGGGUUGACGGUACCGGAGGAAUAAGCACCGGCUAACUUCGUGCCAGCAGCCGCGGUAAUACGAAGGGUGCAAGCGUUAUCCGGAUUCAUUGGGUUUAAAGGGUGCGUAGGCGGAGCGUUAAGUCAGUGGUGAAAUCCUGCAGCUUAACUGUAGACUUGCCAUUGAUACUGGCGCUCUUGAGUGCGCUUGAAGUGGGCGGAAUGUGCCGUGUAGCGGUGAAAUGCUUAGAUAUGGCACAGAACACCAAUUGCGAAGGCAGCUCACUAAGGCGAUACUGACGCUGAGGCACGAAAGCGUGGGGAUCGAACAGGAUUAGAAACCCCGGUAGUCC